UACGUAGGGCGCAAGCGUUGUCCGGAAUUAUUGGGCGUAAAGAGCUCGUAGGCGGCCUGUUACGUCUGCUGUGAAAUCCCGGGGCUUAACCCCGGGCGUGCAGUGGAUACGGGGCAGGCUGGAGGCAGGCAGGGGGAGACUGGAAUUCCUGGUGUAGCGGUGAAAUGCGCAGAUAUCAGGAGGAACACCGGUGGCGAAGGCGGGUCUCUGGGCCAUAACUGACGCUGAGGAGCGAAAAGCGUGGGGGAGCGAACAGG
rnacentral:rRNA from 1 species